rnacentral:rRNA from 1 species
UACGUAGGGGGCGAGCGUUGUCCCGGAUUUAUUGGGCGUAAAGAGCGUGUAGGCGGCCAGGUAGGUCCGUUGUGAAAACUCGAGGCUCAACCUCGAGACGUCGAUGGAAACCAUCUGGCUAGAGUCCGGAAGAGGAGAGUGGAAUUCCUGGUGUAGCGGUGAAAUGCGCAGAUAUCAGGAAGAACACCUAUGGCGAAGGCAGCUCUCUGGGACGGUACUGACGCUGAGACGCGAAAGCGUGGGGAGCGAACAGG